CACGUAGGCGGUUCGUUAUGUCAGAUGUGAAAGCCCCUGGCUCAACUGAGGAAGUGCAUCUGAAACUGGCGAGCUAGAGUAUGUAAGAGGGUCGCGGAAUUCCCGGUGUAGAGGUGAAAUUCGUAGAUAUCGGGAGGAACACCGGUGGCGAAGGCGGUUUCCUGGCCCAGUACUGACGCUGAGGCACGAAAGCGUGGGGAGCGAACG
rnacentral:rRNA from 1 species